rnacentral:rRNA from 1 species
AGUGGCGGACGGGUGAGUAACGCGUAAGAAUCUAACUUCAGGACGGGGACAACAGUGGGAAACGACUGCUAAUACCCGAUGUGCCGCGAGGUGAAACCUAAUUGGCCUGAAGAAGAGCUUGCGUCUGAUUAGCUAGUUGGUGGGGUAAGAGCCUACCAAGGCGACGAUCAGUAGCUGGUCUGAGAGGAUGAGCAGCCACACUGGGACUGAGACACGGCCCAGACUCCUACGGGAGGCAGCAGUGGGGAAUUUUCCGCAAUGGGCGAAAGCCUGACGGAGCAACGCCGCGUGAGGGAGGAAGGUCUUUGGAUUGUAAACCUCUUUUCUCAAGGAAGAAGUUCUGACGGUACUUGGGGAAUCAGCCUCGGCUAACUCCGUGCCAGCAGCCGCGGUAAUACGGGGGAGGCAAGCGUUAUCCGGAAUUAUUGGGCGUAAAGCGUCCGCAGGUGGUCAGCCAAGUCUGCCGUCAAAUCAGGUUGCUUAACGACCUAAAGGCGGUGGAAACUGGCAGACUAGAGAGCAGUAGGGGUAGCAGGAAUUCCCAGUGUAGCGGUGAAAUGCGUAGAGAUUGGGAAGAACAUCGGUGGCGAAAGCGUGCUACUGGGCUGUAUCUGACACUCAGGGACGAAAGCUAGGGGAGCGAAAGGGAUUAGAUACCCCUGUAGUCCUAGCCGUAAACGAUGGAUACUAGGCGUGGCUU